rnacentral:rRNA from 1 species
UACGUAGGGUGCAAGCGUUAAUCGGAAUUACUGGGCGUAAAGCGUGCGCAGGCGGCUUUGCAAGACAGAUGUGAAAUCCCCGGGCUCAACCUGGGAACUGCAUUUGUGACUGCAUGGCUAGAGUACGGUAGAGGGGGAUGGAAUUCCGCGUGUAGCAGUGAAAUGCGUAGAUAUGCGGAGGAACACCGAUGGCGAAGGCGAUCCCCUGGACCUGUACUGACGCUCAUGCACGAAAGCGUGGGGAGCAAACAGG